rnacentral:rRNA from 1 species
UGAACGCUGGCGGCGUGCCUAACACAUGCAAGUCGAACGAACGAGUUCUCUUCGGAGAGCGAGUUAGUGGCGAACGGGUGAGUAACGCAUGGGUGAUCUGCCCCGAAGUGGGGGACAACUGUUCGAAAGGACAGCUAAUACCGCAUAAGUUGCACCUAGUUAGAGAGGGUGCAGUAAAGGAUUAAUUCGCUUCGGGAGGAACCUGUGUCCCAUCAGCUAGUUGGUAAGGUAAUGGCUUACCAAGGCGAAGACGGGUAGGGGGCCUGAGAGGGUGGCCCCCCACAAUGGAACUGAAACACGGUCCAUACACCUACGGGUGGCAGCAGUGGGGAAUAUUGCCCAAUGGACGAAAGUCUGAGGCAGCAACGCCGCGUGUGCGAAGACGGCCUUCGGGUUGUAAAGCACUUUUGGCGGGGAAGAGGAAGGACAGUACCCGCAGAAUAAGCUUCGGCUAACUAC